CAGUGCUGUGGGUCUCAGGAGGCAGAACUCAGGCUUCUCCACCAUGGACUGGACCCCUCUCCUGCUUCCUGUCCUCACAUUCUGCUCAGGUGC
rnacentral:pre_miRNA from 1 species